AAGAGACCAAGAAAGAUGUCAUCCCAGUGCCCAGACACUGGGAUCCAGAAAACUUCACUUUCAAUGAGCACACCAGGUGGCUGUACAAUAGAAACUGGAUUCCAUUAUCAAGCACUGGAAUGACACCAUCUACUACUCAAAUU
rnacentral:ncRNA from 1 species